UACGGAGGAUCCGAGCGUUAUCCGGAUUUAUUGGGUUUAAAGGGAGCGUAGGUGGAUUGUUAAGUCAGUUGUGAAAGUUUGCGGCUCAACCGUAAAAUUGCAGUUGAUACUGGAUAUCUUGAGUGCAGUUGAGGCAGGCGGAAUUCGUGGUGUAGCGGUGAAAUGCUUAGAUAUCACGAAGAACUCCGAUUGCGAAGGCAGCUCACUGGAGUGUAACUGACGCUGAUGCUCGAAAGUGUGGGUAUCAA
rnacentral:rRNA from 1 species